AUUGAACGCUGGCGGCAGGCCUAACACAUGCAAGUCGAGCGAGCCGCGGACGGGUGAGUACUGUACGUGGCUCUGCCCGAUAGAGGGGGAUAACAACUGGUAACGGUGGCUAAAACCGCCUACUACCGGCUGAACCCAUAUGGGUUUGGCUAGUAGGGGGGGAAAAGGCUCCCCUAGGCGACGAUCUCUAUCUGGUAUGAGAGGAUGAUCAGCCAACCUGUGACUGCGACACGGCCCAGACCCCUACGGGAGGCAGCAGUGGGGAAUUUUGGACAAUGGGCGCAAUCCUGAGCCAGCCAUGCCGCGUGUAUGAUGAAGGCCUUCGGGUUGUAAAGUACUUUUAGCGGGGGAGCGUUACCCGCAGAAGAAGCACCGGCUAACUACGUGCCAGCAGCCGCGGUAAUUC
rnacentral:rRNA from 1 species